AAGAAAAGAGGUCGUUUUAGGCAAAAGAAGUGAAGAAAUACUUGGAACAUCUUGUGGAAUACUGUUUAGGGGUGUAGUGGGAAAGAACCUCACGGAUUUGAAGAAGAGCCUUUCCUCAGCCUGAGUAAUUUGUCGGCAAAUGAAGAUGGAGGAAAUAACGAAUUAGAGAUGGGUAUUACUGCUCGAAUUGGUGCCCAUAUCUAUGUAGAGAUUGACAGCAACAUCAUGUAGAGCAAUAAAUACCAUGCAAAUUAUCAGUGAUAAGCUACUGCAGAAAACUGGGUUUAAGGGGAAGUGAAGGGAGAUGUCCGUUUGUCCAACAGUUUGAAGUACUGAUAUCAGCAGACAGUUCUAAACAAGGGCUCGACAGAAUCAGCAAAAGACCAGGAAAUUAGGACUCAAAAGCACUAUGUAAACAACCAACCGAGUCAAAUCAGUGAUUUUUAGUAUGCAGAAACUAGGGCUGACCAAAAAAACGACCAAACUGUGAAAUUGAAUCAAACCCACGAUUCGAUUCAGUUAAGAUUUUUCUAAUUCAGUUCGGUUUAGUUUAAAUAAUGUAAUUGAAUCAUAUCAAUUCAGUUGAGUUUGAAUUUAUUUUA